rnacentral:lncRNA from 1 species
CCGGGACCUCGUCGGCACCGCCGGUGCCGGGACUCCGUCGGGACCACCGGCCCCGGGACCCCUUCGGCACCGCCGGCCCCGGGACCUCGUCGGCACCGCCGGUGCCGGCCCCGGGACCCCUUCGGCACCGCCGGUGCCGGCCCCGGGAUCCCGCCGGCACCUCCGCUCCCUCAGCGCCGCCUCCCGGCCCGCGGGCCGCCACUUGGCGGAUAGGGAGCCGCCGCGCGGUCCCCGCGGACGCCGAGCCCUCCGCGGCCCGCCGAGGCCACCGCACCCCCGGAGGACGCGGCGGGACGAGCGCGGCUGGAUCGCCGCGGUCGGAAGGAACGAGCCCCUCCGCCGCUCUCGACCGCGCCCGGCGCGGGAGCCCACCCGCUACCUGCCGCGCAAUUUUCGGGGAUUAAAUCACCUCGGCCCCGCCCCACACACCUGUGUCGGGCCCGGGGCCUGCCUCUGAAGCCCCGCAGCUGCCCGCGCUCAGCCUUGAUGCCGUCGGCCCUGCCCCCGAUGUCACCCGGACCCCGCCUCCUGGGACUCUCCGGUGUUCCACGUUGGAAUCGGCUGUGCUUAAUGUACAGCUGCUCCUCCGAUGGAAAAGGACUGGGACCGGAACUGCUGAACGCUACUGGCAGUGAGGCUUCUUCCCAGCCGGGUGAUCCUGUAUCCCAGGCUCCGCAGUGUGGCUGGACGCAGGCCUGA